CCCCCCACUAUGUCUUCAUCUUUAUCUGUCAAAGGAAAUGGGAUCCUAUUUCUAGCCAUCCUUCCGACCUGGAAGGGCCAGGUGCUGCAUGACCUUGACCCAGACCCUGCCAUGGUUACUAGGAGGCAUUUUGAGGGGAGUGUGGAUUCUAGAAUUCCUCAAGCACAGAUGUUCUAAGGCCAGGAUUUAGGAUUCUCUCUAGGAUCCUAUGCCUUCCCGUUACGCUUUGCGGAAGGGAGUCAAAAGAGAGCACUUGUCUUCAUGCCACAGCCUUGCUCCUUCUAGAUGGGGAUGCUUCAGCAAGGUGAACUUCAGCCUCUAGGACUGCUCCUCGCACAAAAGACAGGAGUCCUGUUCCUGUGUUGGGGGGGGGGGGGAAUGGGGCUGUGCUAUCCCCAGCUGGGUAGUGAGGCCCCACUGACAUUCCUCUCUCAGAGUAUAAACCAAGUGCUUUUUCAGCCAUUCUGUCUCAUUCUGUCCCAGGCUCAUGGGGAUUUGAACCUGGCUUUUCUUCAUUUGGUGGUUGUGAACUCACCUUUCCGAGCAUCAUCUGUAAAAGGGGCAACAACACCUAUUCCACAGGGCUGCCGGUAAGAAUUAAAAACUUGAGUUGGAAAGGCAGACACCUGUUCUUGAGAACUGACCUAUGAAGUUGCCUCCUCCAGAAAGCCUUCCCUGACUGCUAUCUAGUAGGCUUCUCCCUUUGGGAUCUCACAGGCCUGAGCUCUCAGCAUUGCAAGUGUUUCUGCUGCCUGUUUCUACUCUUGUUGCCUCCACUAGACUCUGGAUCCUUCAGGGGCAGUGCGUUUUUCGGAUUCAUUCCUGAAUGCCUAGCAAGGGGUCCAAAUGGAGUUGGAUUACAGUCAGUGUUCCUUCCUGUCUUCUUCCCUCCCUCCCUCUAUCUUUUUUACCGUAUGAGGCUGUCUUCUCCCCAAAGGGCUGUGGCGAUGGGUAGAUAGGUCCUUAGGGCAGAGCCCCCCCAGCUCUCUUACCCUGAGCCAGCUAGGUUCCGGGGCAGCAGAGAGAGCAUUCUGGAGCCUGAAGGAAAAGCAGUCACCCAGGGCUGGCAGGUGAAGGGCAGCUGGUGGUGUCCAGCUGGCAGGGGGCACCAUAUGGGCCUAGCGAGCAGGCGGGCCUGGGAACGCGGAGACUGCAGGGAAGGCUGUUUCCAGGGCCAUCGCAUCGUCCCGGAGGUGGCUUGCUGGGAGCUGUCAGCCAUGAAUCCCCUGCAGAGGGGCAGCCGGCUCGUGCCCCUUCUGCCAAUCCAGGAACAGAAGCAGAAACAGAAGGUCAGAGCGGCAAGGGGCCUCCUCUGAGGUCACCGUGUCCAAACCCUCAUUUCGCAGCAGAGCACGGUAGUUAAACACAUGGAUACUGGCGCCCGGGAUCCUGUCUCCCCCGCUUCUUUACUUCGUGACCUUAAAAACCGUCAUCAUUCGUUUCUGCUGGGAGCACCCCUGGCCGUUCGGUCAUUCCACCAAGCGUGUGAUGGCACAGAGCCUGUCGUGUGGGAGGCCCGGACUCCGCUCGCCCUUUCUCCUGGAGAAGAUUCUGGUUGUAACUGCUCAGCCAGCCUCUCCCCUUCCUGGCUCUCUUACUUACGGCUGGAUCCCAGCGCCCUGGCUGUUCUCAAUCUGAGGGCCGGUCUUUGCGUUCGAAGGGAGGUUAGCAAAGGUCAGAAAGGUCGGAAAGACAGACAGCAUCCACUGAGACUGUCAGAAACGGAACCCUUUUCACCCUCUUCCGCUGUCUCCUCCUUGUCCUCAUGCACCUGUCGGGUGUGAGGACCUCAGAGAGGCCCCGAGAGUCUCCCAGCCGUUGCCCAGCCCCGCCUCCUGCCCGCGGACGCGCCACCACCACAGGAGGGACGCCGGGUGUACCGUGGGGCACCCGGGUUUUGGGUUCAGCUGCGCCACCAUCUCACUUGAAACUACCCUUCCUGGCCCCCUUGCAGUCAGGAGAGGCAGACCUGGCCAUCGAAGUGGGUAGAAGUGAUAUGCGUAAAACUCGGGGGAACCUGUGCUCGCUCUCUCUCUCUCUCUCUCCCCGUCCUGGGGUGAACUUGGACAUGAGGCGUCUGCGAUGGAAGGAAGGUGCGUUCCAGGGGGAGCAGAACCGCCCCCACUCCACCACCACAGGCAGCGGUAAACUUAGAUUGUGUUUGUUGAAUGACUGCGGCUACGGGGUCACGUUCGUCGUAGCAGCUGGCGGUGCUUCCCCUAAUACAGCCUGGAGGAAGCGGCACCGGAGCAGCCUCUGAAAAGGCGAGUAAGGUUUGGCGACGUGGACAGGCGGGAAGGGACGUUCCAGAGGGAAGGGACAGGGGCAGCAAAGGGGUGGGAGCCGGAACAGGACGAUGUGUUUGCACCCUGGAGAGAAAGUCAGCGUGAUCGGUACUGAGGGCUGCCCUGGGCUCCAACCAGGGGUGUGCUGAAUCCAGCCCGUCCCGGCUCCGGGCAGCCGAUGGUUAGCAUCGUUUCCCAACUCGGUGCUCAGUGACAGCCAUCCUGCGGUGGCAUGAAAUCGGCCAUGGUGGGAGUAUUUACGCCAUGGCAACCGGCAAACACUCUAAGCCAGGGCUCUUUCCUCCUAUUGUUAUCCAGUUAUCUGCUUACAGCUCACAAGCAAGUGGACCCUGCCCAUCUGAGAGGCCGUGCAAGGACCAAAGACCCUGCCCCCUCUGAGCCCUUUAAGCCUCACGUUCCUCAUCCGCAGAAUGGGGCGCAUCACCCUGCCUCCUCUGCCAGGCUGACCGCGGGCAACAGGAAAUGAGAUCGUGCACGUGGAGCCCUGCCUGCGUCCCCUCAGGAUCGUCGUUCCCGUGCACAGGACAGCCUCUGAGGGCUUUCGCUGGCCGGAGGGGCUGCUCACCCACACGGGCAGGCUGGGGGAGUGCUGGGACCUUGAUGUCUGUGGGAGCAGACCUCGGCCAAGGGCGGGUGGGAGCUGGGGGGGUGGGUGGGGAAAUAGCCCAGCCUUCUCCCCUCUUUCUUGGGACAGACGUGAGGCCCAUUCCACCCCAUCUCCUGGAAGUCUCCAGAGGGGCGGAGCCUCGGCUGUCCCCGCUGCGGCUCGUUCACCAGCGCGUCCUGACUCUGGGAUUCUUCCUUCCCUGCCUCAGUUUCCCCCUUUCCCUACCGGCGCGUCCUGGGAUUGUUGCAGGAUGCUUUUUUAACCUCAAUGCCCAGGAUUCGUUGUCUCGCCGCAAAGAAUGAAGGGGGUGGGGGGGCACCGAAUAAAACGAGCAGCCGGCAAAAGUUUAUUAGAGUAUAAGAUCAGAAAGCAAGAAUAGUAGGAAAGCUCUCUUUCCAGAGAAGGGAGUGAAUGCCCGCGACUACAGGCAAGGGUCCUUGUUUUAUAAGGUUUUGGUCGCCCCCCCUUCCGCCUCCACUCAUUUCUCCUCUGGUUUUACCCUUAUCGGCGUGAUAACUCUAAAUGCCUAGUCAUUCCUUUUUGAUUGGCUGGUUUCCAUCGUAUGAGGGGUGGUCUACGGCCACACCGUUCCUUGUGGGUCAUACAUUUUAUGGUCGACUGCUUAUUUUUAGUCAGGUCUUUGGUCAAAUUCCUGAGGGGAACCUGAGGGGGAGCAGGCGGUGUCUGUAACAUUCUUAAGAGGAACCUUAUGCCCCCGGGAGACUGCUGUGGUCAGACGCUCCCAGCCUUGUUUCAAAAUAUGUGUUUUUCCCCACCCAGGGAUCUCACGUCCUAACCUUUCCCUCUCUGCCUGUUUUACCCUCUCUUUCCCUAUCAUAGGAUCACUGCCCAAAGGAACUUCUCUCAUCCUUAUCUCAGGGUCGGCUUCUGGGGGAACCCAACCAAGAUGAGCAGUGACCAGGAUCACCUCUAGAGAGAGAGAGAGAGAGAGAGAGAAUCCCAAGCAGGCUCUG